GAUGAACGCUGGCGGCGUGCCUAAUACAUGCAAGUCGAGCGAACAGACGAGGAGCUUGCUCCUCUCACGUUAGCGGCGGACGGGUGAGUAACACGUGGAUAACCUCCCUAUAAGACUGGGAUAACUUCGGGACACCGGAGCUAAUACCGGAUAAUAUAUUGAACCGCAUGGUUCAAUGGUGAAAGACGGUGUUGCUGGCACUACUCGAUGGAUCCGCGCCGUAUUAGCUAGUUGUUACGGUCACGGCUUACGAAGGCAACGAUGCGUUGACGACCUGAGAGGGUGGUCGCCCACAUGGGAAGGGAGACACGGUCCAGACGCCUACGGGAGGCAGCAGUAGGGAAUCUUCCGCAAUGGGCGAGAGCAUGACGGAGCAACGCCGCGUGAGUGAUGAAGGUCUUCGGAGCGUAAUACUCUGCUAUGAGGGAAGAACAACUGUGGAAGGAACUAUGCACGUCGUGACGGUACCGAAUCAGAAAGCCACGGCUAACUACGUG
rnacentral:rRNA from 1 species